AGUGAACGCUGGCGGUAGGCCUAAUACAUGCAAGUCGAGCGACAGCAUAGUAAGAGCUUGCCCUUACGGGUAGCGACUGGCGGACGAGUGAGAAGUACAUCAGAUUCUACUUAUUCUUGGGUGAUAACGGGGAGAAACAGACGCUAAUGCCGCAUACGACCUACGGCAGAAAGCAAAGGAUCUUCGGACCUUGCCCGACUGAAUUAGCCGGUGCCGGAUUAGCUAGUUGGCGAGGUAAAGGCCCACCAAGGCAACGAUACGUAGCUGGUCUGAGAGGAUGAUCAGCCACACUGGAACUGAGACACGGUCCAGACUCCUACGGGAGGCAGCAGUGGGGAAUAUUGGACAAUGGGCGCAAGCCUGAUGCAGCCAUACCGCGUGAGUGAUGAAGGCCUUCGGGUUGUAAAGCUCUUUUGUUAGGAAAGAAAAGAAGCAUGAUUAUAUCCGGAUGUUCUGACGGUACCCAAAGAAUAAGCCCCGGCUAACUUCGUG
rnacentral:rRNA from 1 species